rnacentral:rRNA from 1 species
AGAGUUUGAUCAUGGCUCAGGAUGAACGCUGGCGGCGUGCCUAAUACAUGCAAGUCGAGCGGUAAGGCCUCUUCGGAGGUACACGAGCGGCGGACGGCUGAGUAAUGCAUAGGAACGUACCCCAAACUGAGGGAUAAUUCACCGAAAGGUGGACUAAUACCGCAUGUGCUCUUCGGAGUAAAGCUUCGGCGGUUUGGGAGCGGCCUAUGUUCGAUUAGCUAGUUGGUGAGGUAAUGGCUCACCAAGGCGACGAUCGAUAGCGGGUCUGAGAGGAUGAUCCGCCAGACUGGAACUGAGACACGGUCCAGACUCCUACGGGAGGCAGCAGUAGGGAAUUUUCCACAAUGGGGGCAACCCUGAUGGAGCAACGCCGCGUGCAGGAUGAAGGCCUUCGGGUUGUAAACUGCUUUUCUCUGUGACGAUUAUGACAGUAGCAGAGGAAUAAGGAUCGGCUAACUCCGUGCCAGCAGCCGCGGUAAU